rnacentral:rRNA from 1 species
AUUGAACGCUGGCGGCAUGCCUUACACAUGCAAGUCGAACGGUAACAGGGAGCUUGCUCCGCUGACGAGUGGCGAACGGGUGAGUAAUACAUCGGAACGUGCCCUGUAGUGGGGGAUAACUAGUCGAAAGAUUAGCUAAUACCGCAUACGACCUGAGGGUGAAAUUGGGGGACCGCAAGGCCUCAUGCUAUAGGAGCGGCCGAUGUCGGAGUAGCUAGUUGGUGGGGUAAAGGCCUACCAAGGCGACGAUCAGUAGCUGGUCUGAGAGGACGAUCAGCCACACUGGGACUGAGACACGGCCCAGACUCCUACGGGAGGCAGCAGUGGGGAAUUUUGGACAAUGGGCGAAAGCCUGAUCCAGCAAUGCCGCGUGUGUGAAGAAGGCCUUCGGGUUGUAAAGCACUUUUGUCCGGAAAGAAAUGGCUCUGGUUAAUACCUGGGGUCGAUGACGGUACCGGAAGAAUAAGGACCGGCUAACUACGUGCCAGCAGCCGCCGUAA